GGAAGGUGAUGUCGCCUGGUGGCGACCCACGGAUGACAACCGUUGGGUCCGAUCUUACCAUCGGAUGGGGUUCGAUUCCCCCGCUUUCCGCCA
rnacentral:tRNA from 1 species